UUUAGUUUAAUGAAAUAUGUCACAUUACAUUACAUUGCGAAUUACAAAUUACAAAUAAAUACAGGACUUGCAUGCAACACCUGAACUAACAAUCACACAAAGACGGAGUGACAGGAGAGGAAAACAGGACUAACGUCCCAAUUGACAAUCCUCCCCCUUUAUAUACUACAAAAAUAUAAAAUACCUUGUGAACACAAUACACAAGAGUAUAGUUUACGGUGGACAAUACAAAGAUAGCUUAUUUCUGUAAUAACGAAGAAGGAGGUUUUUGAAUUCGGUAAGACUGGAUGCAUGUUUUAUGGAAUGAGGGAGCUCAUUCCAUAUCUUAACUGUCCUAGGGAAAUAUGAAUUUAUAAAGUAAUUCUGGCGAUGGGAUGAAUAAAAGCGAUAAUUUGCUUCAUCAAAGUUUCGCGUAGCAUAACCAGACGAGGCUGGUUGUAAUAAGUUCUGGAGGUUAGCGUUAAUAAGACGAGUCUUAGACUUAAAAAGGAGAAUUAGAUCUAUUGUUUCUCUGCGAUGUUCCAAUGGGAGUAUGCUCAACAUGGCUAAUCUUUCCGUAUAGUUUACAUUGCUUGGGUAGUCCAAAAUAAACUUUGUGGCACGACGCUGUAUAUUUUCGAUAAGUUUCUUGUGCUUUACUGUGUAUGGUGACCAUAGACUACUCGCGUACUCUAGUAGAGGUCUAACUAAUGACACGUAUAGGAGCAGUCUAAUGGAACGGUCGUGGAAG